AGCAGUGGAAUGGAGUCAACCAGAGUGCAUAGUUAGAGAUGUGACCCAAGCCAUUUGGAGGAGACCAGAAACUGGAACAAGAAGCUGUAAUGUUGAAGUUGUCUUGGAGACCCCAAGAUGUUCGAGGUGCCAGGGCUGUGGUAUACCUGCUGAGGAAAGCUGCUAACAGCAAGUGGAACCAUCCAAAGAGAACUGUGCUGCAGUCAACAAAGCAGAAAGGAGUUGGACAUUAGACACGGAGGUGAUGAGUUUGGAGUUUGUCCAGCUGAAUUUUGGUCUUGCUUUGGUCUAUUAUUUCCUCAUAUGAAGUUUUGAAAUGGUAAUGUAUAUCAUGUGAUGUUGGAGCUUGGACCCCCAAGUGGAGCAUGCCUCCAUUGUUUGUGAGUUCUGUCUCAGCUCAGAGUGGAUGGGCGCACAGUUCCAGGGGAGCAAGGAUGUGUGCAACAGAAACUAGUGUUAGCCACACUUGUUCAUCUAGGUGGAUCAUCUCCAGAGACUGAAGAUAUCAGCAGGGCCUAGGAUAUCUGGGCGGCUCCUUCUCCUUCUGCUCCCAGCCCCAAAUCUAACCCUUCAAUAAGGUAGCAGAAGGAAACUGACACACGAAGCCUGGCUAGAGCAUAUAUGAGAUCUCAAAGCCCACCUUCACAGUGACACACUUCCUCCACCAAGACUACACCUACUCUAACAAGGCCACACUUUCAAAUACCACCACUCCCAUGUGCCAAGCAUUCUAACACAUAUGUCUGUGGGGAAUAGCCCUAUUCAAACCACCACCCACUCUCUUGACCUCUUGGUUGGUGGCUCCUCUCUUGUUCUGCUUGCCCCUCCUUAUCUUCCUCUCUUACCCAUCUCUCCAUGACCCAGUUCAGUCUGGACUCUGUCAGAUGUCUCUGGCUAUUUCCCCCCCUCAUAUCUAUGAUAAAACCAUCUCCUCAACCAUAUCUAGAAGUGGCCAUGUCCUCAUUUUUCAUUUACAGACAAGUUUCAUUUUGUUCUUGAGAGCAAAGACAGUUCAGUAUGGUUGGAACUGGAGAGAAGUUAAAUGUAGGAAAGACGGAGGAAGGAGAGUAGAUGAGGCUGGAGAAGAGGCAGGGAGGACUCAAAUGCAGUGGCCGAGGCUGGGGAAAGGUGGCUUUCAGGAGUGCAGAGGUGAGGUCAACCUGGAUUAGGUAUAACAUGGGGUUGGAAGUAGAAUGUUUGAGUGAGAAUUCAUGAAGAGCAAGAGCAAUACUUACAAGUUCAAAAUAAGGAGAUUAAAGGACACAGAUAAGUCCUAUUUUGCACCUGUUGGGUUUGAGUUGUCUUUAUUGUAAUAUCCAUCAAGGAUGUGCAACCAUGCAUAAAGAUCUGGACCAGAGAUUUGAAGUUUAGGGAUCAUAAAUUUGUUGGUGUUGCCCUGGGAUAGACUUUUGUUAAGAAGAGAAUUAAGCACAACAAGCAAAAUCCAAAGCUACAUAGGGAUAGUGACAUAAAAAUUAUCUAGAGUUCUUAGACAUAGUUGGGAGGAGCCAAAAGUUAGGUAUAAAGUAAUAUAAUUUAUGAUUUUGAAAAUUACCUGUAGCCUCCCCCAGCCUUGAGCAGGCUGGCUCAGACCUGUUCUGCCACUGUGAAUGAGACCACCUAGGGUGGAGUCUUCAGACCUAGAUAGGUCUAUUGUUCUGCCACCUGCACUCUUCUCCAAGAUGCUGGUACUCCGGAGAGGUUGAAACCUGUCUUCCUGAGAUAAGCAACACCCUGGACCAAGUGCUAACAGGAUGGCGACAAAGCAUCAAGAGCCUGGCGUGGCGGGGGAUGGGCCUUCCCCCUUUAUAAGCUUAGACUCUUAAGUAAACAUUGUGCCUUGAUCAG
ensembl:lincRNA 9330111N05Rik RIKEN cDNA 9330111N05 gene